rnacentral:rRNA from 1 species
AUUGAACGCUGGCGGCAGGCCUAACACAUGCAAGUCGAACGGUAACAGGAAGAAGCUUGCUUCUUUGCUGACGAGUGGCGGACGGGUGAGUAAUGUCUGGGAAACUGCCUGAUGGAGGGGGAUAACUACUGGAAACGGUAGCUAAUACCGCAUAACGUCGCAAGACCAAAAAGGGGGACCUUCGGGCCUCUUGCCAUCGGAUGUGCCCAGAUGGGAUUAGCUAGUAGGUGGGGUAACGGCUCACCUAGGCGACGAUCCCUAGCUGGUCUGAGAGGAUGACCAGCCACACUGGAACUGGGACACGGUCCAGACUCCUACGGGAGGCAGCAGUGGGGAAUAUUGCACAAUGGGCGCAAGCCUGAUGCAGCCAUGCCGCGUGUAUGAAGAAGGCCUUCGGGUUGUAAAGUACUUUCAGCGGGGAGGAAGGGAGUAAAGUUAAUACCUUUGCUCAUUGACGUUACCCGCAGAAGAAGCACCGGCUAACUCCGUG